UCGUGCAGGUGCUUUAUAACUAACAGGUAAGAUGUUGUUGCAGUACAAAAUAUUCAUUUUAAUACAAUUAAUAAAGUUGUAUAACGUAGAAUAUGUUUUGUCAUUCAGUUUCUUCAUAUUUAACUAAAUUCCACUAUGAUGAUUUCGUAAUGCUAGUCAUGUUUACUGUCGAAUAAUGAUACUAUUCUUUCAUUUUUACUGUGGAGCGAAUCAUUAGUACUGUAUAUGCGGUGCAUUUUCACUGUAUAAUUUUUUAUUUAUUUUUUUAUCUAUUACAGCUCAUUUCUUUAAGCAUGUAGAGCAAGACUUUAGUUGACUUGCUUGUUUUUCUUUUAUUGGAUAAUCGUUAUGAUAACACCCAAUUUAAUUCAAAUAUUAAAAAUACAGGUUAAACUAUCAUAUGCCUAAUCAUAUUGUUUAAAAAUG
rnacentral:lncRNA from 1 species